rnacentral:rRNA from 1 species
GACGAACCGUGCAAACGUUAUUCGGAAUCACUGGGCUUAAAGGGCGCGUAGGCGGGCCGCCAGGUCCGGGGUGAAAGCCUCCAGCUCAACUGGAGAAGUGCCUUGGAUACCGGCGGCCUCGAGGGAGGCAGGGGCGUGCGGAACUUCGGGUGGAGCGGUGAAAUGCGUAGAUAUCCGAAGGAACACCGGUGGCGAAAGCGGCGCGCUGGACCUCUACUGACGCUGAGGCGCGAAAGCCAGGGGAGCAAACGGGAUUAGAUACCCCGGUAGUCCUGGCCCUAAACGUUGGGUACUAGGUAGCGGCCUUACAUGGGGUCGCUGCCGAAGCAAAAGUGUUAAGUACCCCGCCUGGGGAGUAUGGUCGCAAGGCUGAA